AACGAACGCUGGCGGCAUGCCUAACACAUGCAAGUCGAACGCCCUCUUCGGAGGGAGUGGCGCACGGGUGCGUAACGCGUGGGAACCUGCCCUUAGGUUCGGAAUAACUCAGAGAAAUUUGAGCUAAUACCGGAUAAUGUCUUCGGACCAAAGAUUUAUCGCCUUUGGAUGGGCCCGCGUUGGAUUAGCUAGUUGGUGGGGUAAAGGCCUACCAAGGCGACGAUCCAUAGCUGGUCUGAGAGGAUGAUCAGCCACACUGGGACUGAGACACGGCCCAGACUCCUACGGGAGGCAGCAGUGGGGAAUAUUGGACAAUGGGCGAAAGCCUGAUCCAGCAAUGCCGCGUGAGUGAUGAAGGCCCUAGGGUUGUAAAGCUCUUUUACCAGGGAUGAUAAUGACAGUACCUGGAGAAUAAGCUCCGGCUAACUCCGUGCCAGCAGCCGCGGUAAU
rnacentral:rRNA from 1 species